CAGAGAGAAGGAAAGGAAACAAAUGGACCAGUUUUGCCAUCUUGAGCUGAAAGUCCAUGAUAGCAAAGAUUCUAAUGAAGAUUUGAAGUACUGUAUCCCAAAGGAAGACAGCAAUUAUGGAGUGGAUUAUUUUAAUACUUCCAAGUGAGCAUUUAUAAUUUUGCAAUGAAUUUCAAGUACAAUGAGACCCCAGAAGAAAAAGGGGUCACUCUGGCUAAGAUAAGCAGAGAAGACCCUUUGGAGAAGAUGGAAUUUGAGCAUCGGAGUCCCAUAGGUGGAAAUGGGCAUGGGGUAAAUAAUCCAAGGUGCCAGACAUGGAAUGUCCUGAAAUAUCAAUGUCACACUCAGGAAAAUAUACAUCCUUGAAGCAAAACAGUGCCUGGACUUAGUCGACAGCUGUGUGGAAUGUAUUAUUCCAUGUGGGUCAGGUUGCAUUGAGAAUGAUGGCCUAUUGUCUUCUAGGAAACCUACAAGAAAAAAUCUUGCAAAUUCUAGUAAAAUAUUCACCGAAGCACAAAUUUCUACUGACAAAUAAGUAAAUACUUCCAAUUUGUUACCUAGAGACAUCUCUGCACUAUUCAGGCCUACAGACUCCUCCCCAGUUGGGCUCCUGUAACACCAAACACUGUUAAAUAUUUGACCAAACACUCAGAUCUGAGACAGACUCCAAAAGACUUCUUGCCAUUAUAACUAUUCU
rnacentral:lncRNA from 1 species